UACGUAGGGUGCAAGCGUUGUCCGGAAUUAUUGGGCGUAAAGAGCUCGUAGGCGGUUUGUCGCGUCUGCUGUGAAAACUCGGGGCUUAACCCCGGGCCUGCAGUGGGUACGGGCAGACUAGAGUGCGGUAGGGGAGACUGGAAUUCCUGGUGUAGCGGUGAAAUGCGCAGAUAUCAGGAGGAACACCGGUGGCGAAGGCGGCUUGCUGGGCCAGUUCUGACGCUGAGGAGCGAAAGCGUGGGGGAGCGAACAGG
rnacentral:rRNA from 1 species